rnacentral:rRNA from 1 species
AGCAGCCGCGGUAAUUCCAGCUCCAAUAGCGUAUAUUAAAGUUGUUGCAGUUAAAAAGCUCGUAGUUGAAUUUCGGGAUUGACACAUCGGUCGUGCCUUAAGGGGUAUGAACUGGUGUAGUCAAUUUCUCACCUUCUGGAGAACCGCGAUGCCCUUAAUUGGGUGUCGCGGGGAACCAGGACCUUUACUUUGAAAAAAUUAGAGUGUUUAAAGCAGGCAUUUUGCUUGAAUACAUUAGCAUGGAAUAAUAAAAUAGGACGGCAUGAUUCUAUUUUGUUGGUUUCUAGGAUCACCGUAAUGAUUAAUAGGGAUAGUUGGGGGCAUUAGUAUUCAAUUGUCAGAGGUGAAAUUCUUGGAUUUAUUGAAGACUAACUACUGCGAAAGCAUUUGCCAAGGAUGUUUUCAUUAAUCAAGAACGAAAGUUAGGGGAUCGAAGACGAUCAGAUACCGUCGUAGUCUUAACCAUAAACUAUGCCGACUAGGAAUCAGACGAUGUUAAUUUUCUAAUGACUCGUUGCAC